CAAGCACGUACCGUAGCGGCAUGCACUGUAGCGGCAGGAUAUAGCCCACUGAGUUUGUGUGAAACGCUACGAAUCAAACAGCUCAGCCGAAUCGAUGCUAGUAUUUUGUUUUGUUUUUUUUUUCUCUCUACUUUUUGUUGUGCAUUGGUGCCCAUCUCGUUGGCAUUCGUUCGUUCAGCUGAUGUGCAAAUUAUAGCUUGCGUUCUAGUGCGUGCGAACGUUUUGUCUCACGGUACCGUCUAUCCAACUGCGGUCGGCACCUCACUACAAACGCAACAACCAAGUCGGUUAAACGAUAUAAGCAAUCGUCGGCAGCCGAACCGCAUUCAGUCAUUCUGGAACGUUCGAGUCGAUAAGACACAGUUCAAGUUCGGUCAGUCGAAGAUAGAAAAAAAAUUUUCUACUCAAAUCUUUUAUUCAUAACACUGAGUUUUCCUAAUCAAUUAACAAAUCUUACAUUUGCUACGAGUUUUUAAAGCAAACCAUAGUCAAAAGUGCGUUCUUUUUUAAGGGGAAAAAAUCACAAAAAUUAUCGCGUCGAAAGGCAAACACACAGUUAGCGAAAAGACACUAUUUAUUGCAUGUCUCCUUCUUCCCCUUCGUCGCAACACUGUCUAUAAAGUUAUUUCUUGCCAUUUACUUUUGCUGACUGGUCGUCGUCAUCAUCGCUUUCAGCAUAUACACUGCUGCAGAGUCGAAAGAAAAAAACAGAUUGCACAGCGUACGAAAUUACAGUGGAAAAUUCCUAUGAUACAUUCGUGCAGUUCACGAACGAACGAGAAAAAUUUGGUACAAGAUAUUAAGGUUUCACCACAUCGAAAAUGAAUUCGAAAAAUCUAACGAAAGCACAGCUGAAAUUCGGUGAAUUGUCACUUAAAGGCAAUUCGGCGACAAAUGGUAGUCAACAUCCGGCCCGAAGUGUACCAUCACGGAUGCAAUACAAAAAUUCGCCCGAAAUUUAUGACAUGGUCCGUUUUCGUGAUGCUAUCAUGAAUAAGUAUGUACAAACGCAUGAUGCCCACUUUCGUGAUAUGGCCAAUGCAUUGACGCCACAAAUCGAAGACAAAAUCCGUGAAUUUAAUCGGUCACACAAUGCCUUGAACUGAAGCGUGUUGUUGUAAGAGCUGAUUGCAUUUUUUUUUCUUCAAUUUUUUCUGAUGAUGAUGGUGCUACAUUUGCAGUAACUGAUUCAACCUCAGAAACACAUCCAUCGAAAAUGCUGCUCAAUAUCAGAAAAUAACACCACUCCAAGCGUCUAGUGUAAAACCAAUUCAACCCAUUCUAUUAAGUUCAGUGCGUAAAUAUACAGAUGAAACGAACCCGGUGAGAAUGUUUGUGCAAGUGUUUUUGUUUGGUGACGGAAGAUGUUCUAUCGUGAGAGAAUGAAAAUUCGAUUCAACCAUUCUGUGAUUGCAAUUUUUUUUUGUUGCUAGAAGUGAAUUUAUUGUUCAGAGACCAAACAAAGAAGAGAACAUUAUUGGAUUAACGUGAUAGCCUCAUGUCAAGCGGAUUACGCGGAAUCGAAUAAGUUCAUCAUAGGUGUGCCAAACAAACCAUUUUUGAUUCCAUGAAGCUGUGAUAAUAAUUCGUAAUUAUUAUACGACGUUUAGCAACUCUGCAGUAAAACCACGAAAUAAUCACAUCUCAAACCACAAACAAAGAACAUUUGACAAAAUGUGUGAGUUUUUGUAAGACUUUGUUUUUCGAUUCGAAGCGAUCGAGUGUUUGUGUGAGUGAAAUUUUGUGUUCAAAAUAAUUUCAGUUGGAACAUGAAAUGAGAGCCUUGUUUAUUCAAGAACAAAAUAAGUGCGAUAUGAACUGAUAACAAGAAAUGAAUAAUAAUGAACUGAAUGAAACUCGAAAAUGACUGUUUAAUGCGUGACAAAACCAUAAAAUAAUUCGACUGAUGCAUGUGUGCAAGUGUUUCAAUGCGUCGCUAAAUCACGUUCGCUCACACCAAACUGAUUUGAACGAUUCGAACGGUAACAACAUUCGACACAAUACUUGUACUGGCAACUGUUCGUAGGCUCUCAAUUUAGACGUAUAGUGACAUUUUUAGCUUUUAGUUUAGCUCGUACUGUUUAGAGGUUAUUUCGGUUAUCUUUAAUUUCAGUCUCUUUUGCAAUAUCCAAGCAUAACAAAUUCUUAUCAAGUUUCAACCAACUGGAACAAUUUUUUUUCUUUCAUUGGAUUCACAGUGAAUAUUUCCGUUGAAAUUUUUUUUGUUGAAAAAUUAACUUUUUAUCAAGAAGGAAUAAAAAAUAGACCGCAUCAAAAUUUAGAAUCAAUUGUCACACAAACUAUUAAGCAUUAGAAAUUAAUAAGCCCCUGAACUGAUGAAAAAAUUCGAAUUUCGAGUAUAUAUCGUACCACCAUCAAAAUUGUAUUUGAUAGAAGUGUAUAUUUAGUUACUUAAUUUUUUUUCUUUCUUCAACGAACCGACAUUGAGUUUGAUAGUCGUAAGAUUCGAAUAUCCGGUCAAAUCAGACAUGAAAUUAUUUAAGAACAGCAUAUGAAUUUGUCAUAUCGCAUAUAUUGUAAAAUGUUAAAUCCAUCAUCAUUGUACAGACAAUUUAAAGCGAUCGAUUAUAAUAUAUGUAAAAAUUCUUUCGAAUGGCGCAAUCCUAACGUCAAAUUCAUCGAUAAUUCGUCGAAAUUAACAUCAUGUCAUUCCGUCAUCAAGUCAUCGGCCAGCAAAGCCAUUGACGAUCAUUUUUCUGCAAAUAAAUUACCGAUACACUUUAUUCGUUGUUAUAAUUAUCAACAAAAUCUGUGUUUACUUUUAAUAAAUGAUUUCGGUCUUGAACUUCUACAAGAUUUGAUUGUUCAUUUUCUUUUUCUUGUACAAUUCAAGUUUAUUAUCGAAAUAUAUGACAAUUAUACAAUAAA